rnacentral:rRNA from 1 species
AACGAACGCUGGCGGCAGGCUUAACACAUGCAAGUCGAGAGCCCCGCAAGGGGAGCGGCAGACGGGUGAGUAACGCGUGGGAAUCUACCCAUCUCUACGGAAUAACGCAUGGAAACGUGUGCUAAUACCGUAUACGUCCUUCGGGUGAAAGAUUUAUAGGAGAUGGAUGAGCCCGUGUUGGAUUAGCUAGUUGGUGGGGUAACGGCCUACCAAGACGACGAUCCAUAGCUGGUCUGAGAGGAUGAUCAGCCACACUGGGACUGAGACACGGCCCAGACUCCUACGGGAGGCAGCAGUGGGGAAUAUUGGACAAUGGGCGCAAGCCUGAUCCAGCCAUGCCGCGUGAGUGAUGAAGGCCCUAGGGUUGUAAAGCUCUUUCACCGGUGAAGAUAAUGACGGCAACCGGAGAAGAAGCCCCGGCUAACUUCGUGCCAGCAGCCGCAGUAACAC